UAAUACCAGCACCCCGAGUGGUCGGGACGAUUAUUGGGCCUAAAGCAUCCGUAGCCGGUACUGCAAGUCUUCCGUUAAAUCCACCUGCUCAACAGUUGGGCUGCGGAGGAUACUACAGCGCUAGGAGGCGGGAGAGGCAAGCGGUACUCAGUGGGUAGGGGUAAAAUCCACUGAUCCAUUGAAGACCACCAGUGGCGAAGGCGGCUUGCCAGAACGCGCUCGACGGUGAGGGAUGAAAGCUGGGGGAGCAAACCGGA
rnacentral:rRNA from 1 species